rnacentral:rRNA from 1 species
AGGAUUAACGCUGGCGGCGUGCAUGAAACAUGCAAGUCGAGCGCGGUGUGAUGCGGGGUAACCCAAUUCACAUCUAGCGGCGAACGGGUGAGUAACACGUGAGCAACCUACCUUUGAGUUGGGGAUAGCCCUGGGAAACCAGGAUUAAUACCCGAUGUGGUCACAACAGGACAUCCUGAUGUGAGUAAAGGCGUAAGCCGCUCAAUGACGGGCUCGCGGCCUAUUAGCUUGUUGGUGGGGUAACGGCCUACCAAGGCGACGACGGGUAGCCGGCCUGAGAGGGUGACCGGCCACACUGGGACUGAGACACGGCCCAGACUCCUACGGGAGGCAGCAGUGGGGAAUAUUGCACAAUGGGCGCAAGCCUGAUGCAGCAACGCCGCGUGAGGGACGACGGCCUUCGGGUUGUAACCUCUUUAGUAGGGAAGAAGCGAAAGUGACGGUACUGCAGAAAAGCACCGGCUAACUACGUGCCAGCAGCCGC